AGAGUUGAAGGAAUUGUUGCUCCGCUCCGGCCCUCCUCCCGCCGGCGGCCUUCCCACACCGGUGAUCAGAGCCGGAGGAUCUCCCUCAUGUCCUUGUGCUUCUCUGGGUCGUCCUUGCUCCGGCGGCCUCGAACGGAUCAGACACGGCCAUCCCUGGUUGGACCCCACCUCGGGAAGAGAAGCUCACUGGCCUCCCGAUCCAAAAGGUCGAUUCAUCUGUCGGAAUACAAACAAUCUCGCUCUCCCGGUCUCCCCGCCUCCCCUUCUCUUAAUUACUCCAAUUUCACCCCUUCCCCUUCUCUCGCCCCUCCACUUGAUCUACUUAAACACAAAGCUCGACCUGGUUUUGCAACUUGCCCAACCAUGAAGUUUGUCCUCACCGUCCGCCCGUCCGUCGCCAACUAGGAUCGAAGCAACGACAACAGGAUUGGAUCCGGUGUACAUCAGUUGUACAUCAGUAAUCUGUCGUCUCCUAGAUAGUCCAGUCAUUUUACCUCUCCACGCAAUUGGAAACGAAUGAAUAGGCCCGUUUCGAUCUGUUCGACCAGGCAACCAAGCAGGCGGCUUCCUAUAGUAUCCUUCCGCUCAGGUUUUUCAUGGCCAUGGAGGUUUUGAUGCAGCAUCCUACAUGAAAAAACAUGCCAUGAGGUUGUUAUUUGAGGAUUCAGAGUUCCUAGAAGCAGUACAAGAUGUUUUUCUUCUUCUUCUGAAUCUGUCACGAACUCAAUCAACAGAGCUUUCGCAGUUGUUGGUUGCAAAUGUUGGGGAUUGCCGAGCAGUUCUAUGUAGGAAAGGCAUGUCUAUAGAGAUGUGGCAUGAUCCAAGGCCAAGAUAUGAAGCAAAGAUAAUGCUCAUUUCACAUGGACAUAAGGUUGUAUAUAUUAUUAUUUUGCUUACAUAGUGUUUGAUUGCUAAUAGAUGUCUUUGCUUUUCUCAUGCUUUUCCAACAAUUACUAACAUGUAAUGUAAUGGCAUGAUGCGUAGCAAGACAUAAUUUUGUUUCCUUCACAAAUAAUCCUUUCCACUUUA